AUCAGCUGGUCGCAACAAGAAGUGUAGAAAAUAGCGAAAAUGAGUAUUAUGCAGGCGCUGCAUAGAAUAAAAACAUGCAAUUUGUGGGAAAUUAUAAUAGUUUUCUUAACAAGGGAAGACGCUUUGUACACCGUCGCAUGGAUACAUGUAUUCAUAUUUUGUCCGUUUUUAUAAUGGACAGAUCCUAAAAAACAGCCGCUGCUGUUUAAUCGAAAUGUAGAAGACCAAAACGGGUCUUUAAUUCUAGGUUUACAGUCCGCUAUUUUCCUUUACACGCGAAGGUUGAAAUCAUUGAUCGGUUCAUAUGCCUAUUCGUUUUUCAUCUGAUUGUAUUUCGUUUUUUGAAUAAUUGUAUUAAUGGUAGGCUAUAUUAUAUCUAGUGCAUUAUUGAUACACUGCUGAAUUUCUAUCUCUCUCAAACUGGGCCAUGUUUUAUUUUAAAUUAGCUUUAAUCUCUGAGAUUAUUUCUCGUUUAUUGGAUGGACUCCGUUCGUAACCCAGGAUGGGGACUGUUGUGCAGCAAAGCGCUGCAACUGGACUCAACAAGCUCCCUAGCAGGGUGGAGCGGGAAUGGGCCAAAAGUUCAUGGACCGAAAAACAUGUGACGAGGUACACCAGAAUGACGACCCAAAAGAAGCCUUUGCAUCCCCAGAUGAUGAUUCCAAGUGUGGACAACACUCACAUUCCCACCCCGUCAGCAGACAAGAAGCAGCAAAGAAGACAUAAGCACAAACCAAACAUUCCUUCAGUCAAACACAACACCAACACCUCUGAACUCAGG